rnacentral:rRNA from 1 species
AGUGAACGCUGGCGGUAGGCCUAACACAUGCAAGUCGAACGGCAGCACAGUAAGAGCUUGCUCUUACGGGUGGCGAGUGGCGGACGGGUGAGGAAUACAUCGGAAUCUACUUUUUCGUGGGGGAUAACGUAGGGAAACUUACGCUAAUACCGCAUACGACCUACGGGUGGAAGCAGGGGAUCUUCGGACCUUGCGCGAAUGAAUGAGCCGAUGUCGGGUUAGCUAGUUGGCGGGGAAAAGACCAACGAAGGCGACGAUCCGUAGCUGGUCUGAGAGGAUGAUCAGCCACACUGGAACUACGACGCGGUCCAGACUCCUACGGGAGGCAGCAGUGGGGAAUAUUGGACAAUGGGCGAAAGCCUGCUCCAGCCAUACCGCGUGGGUGAAGAAGGCCUUCGGGUUGUAAAGCCCUUUUGUUGGGAAAGAAAAGCAGCAGAUUAAUACCCCGCUGUUCUGACGGUACCCAAAGAAUAAGCACCGGCUAACUUCGUG